AGGCCAAAUUUGGCUGAUGAAAAGGCAGCGAAACCCUUUCCGCCGCGCACACUCGCCGUUGCGCCGGUGAACAGAAUGGUGCCGCGGCCGCGCAGCAACAUGUAUUUGGCCGCCUCGCGGCCGACUAGAAAGCCGCCAUAGCAGGCGAGUUCCCAUGCCUUGAAGAACAGCUUUUCGGUGGUCUCCAGAAGCGGCUUGUUGACGUUGGAGCCGGCGUUAUAGAGG
rnacentral:misc_RNA from 1 species